AGGUGCUGCAGAGCCACAGUCUGCUGCUGUCUGUUACUCCACACCUCACUGGUCAGAUAAAACGGCUGAUUACACAGGUAACACACCUCGCCUGGCCUCCUGCCACUGAACUGGGGGGUAUUUCAGGGAGCAGGACACUGGGUUAGCUGGAUCACCGCGCUGAGUGCAACCCGGAACAGCUCUCUUUACUUCAGUCCAUGUUCCAGAUGGUUCUGGGUUUCACUCAGCGCAGUUAUCCAGCUAACCCAGUUAUCCUGCUUUGUGAAACACCCCCCUGCUUGGUCACACAGACUGUUAAGUUACUGUUUUUCUUGCUCCGAAUCAGCUGCUGAUCUUGGGAUGAGAACAUAAGCCAGCAAACGCUGCACCUCUCCAGUAGCAGGUCUGAGGACCUCCAGUUUAAACUGUCAAUGUCUGCACAUGACCUGUGUGUCUGUGUGAAGGCUUCACAUCAGUGCUCUCCAGGACCAGGGUUGGAGACCACUGCUUCACACAGACUGCCGUGACCUUCCUCUGCAGCAGGAACUGCAGAGAGAAUAGUUUCUGGCAGCCAAUUAAACGAUAAGGUGAAUGAACUGCAGUCUCAACAAAAACAGUUCAGUGAGUUUUUCUACGAAACAAGUGUUUAUGGGUGCAUAGUCUCUGACUCCAGUCCUGGAGGGGGCGCUGUGUCUGGGGUUGUGUGGAUUCCUUUCAGUUAACAGCCUAUUAAAGCCUUGGAAACAAGGCAUGUGGACUUUGUAGCCAAUCAAUGACUUCAAUUAUGCACUGAAAACCAGCAGAUGCUGCUGAAAUACCUGUGAAGAGCUUGUAUUGUAAGUUCCAUCUGCUUGUACAGCAGGUUUGAGAUCAAGCAUUACUAUUUUCAUUAUUGUUUUACAUCUAAAAUUACUUUCAACAUGUUAAAAUUAAUUUUCAUUGAAGUGAAAAUAUUACGAGAUGAUGAAUGCUGACUGUAAAUCUUAUGCGCAAUACUGUUCAUGUGAUUAGCAUAAGGAAACGGCCCUGAACAAAUACAGAUAAUAAAAAAAAUGAUGAAAGCUGAAA